rnacentral:rRNA from 1 species
UACGGAGGAUGCAAGCGUUAUCCGGAAUGAUUGGGCGUAAAGCGUCCGCAGGUGGCUGUGUAAGUCUGCUGUCAAAGAGCAAAGCUCGACUUUGUAAAGGCAGUGGAAACUACACGGCUAGAGUGCGUUCGGGGCAGAGGGAAUUCCUGGUGUAGCGGUGAAAUGCGUAGAGAUCAGGAAGAACACCGGUGGCGAAGGCGCUCUGCUAGGCCGCAACUGACACUGAGGGACGAAAGCUAGGGGAGCGAAUGGG